ensembl:lncRNA
CAAAAACAACAUGGUUAGGCAUAGGUGUUAAAACAGUAACAGUAAACCACACUUGUUGAUGGAUGAGCUGGGAGCAACUGCUCGCUCUCAAUCAAGAGGCAGCAUUACACUCUCUACAGCCUCUCCUGAUUUUUUUUUUUUUUUUUUUCACGCCUAUCACAAGAGCUCAGGCUGAGAUUGUGAAAAGGUGUGGAUCUGUCAAGUCUGGUAUUCCAUGGUAUGACUAGUCUGCAUGAAAACAGGUAUGCAGAAAAGAGGAGGCGGUUUCACUGAUGAUGGAAGGCAUAGGAUGGAACGCUUUGUUUAAUGGACACAUGACACAUACUUGUAUCAUGAACCCUCAUGGUGAAACUUCGGCUUUUCCAUCGCGCUGUAAACCCUCAGGGCUACUGUGGACAAUGACCAUCCGCCCAUCAAAUAUUAUUCAGUCAUAGUAACCCUGCAUUAAUGUUCCUCUGCUGUGAUGAGAAAAAUGCUCUGUGCAAAUACAUGUAAACAAAAUCAAGAUAUAAAAUAAAAUAUGCUUUUAUUUAUAGUGAUUAAAUUACCAUUUCACUAAAAACAAUCCUGCACACUGAUUAUAUCAUGUGUGCUCACACAUUAAAAUGAACUCAUAUCCACA